rnacentral:lncRNA from 1 species
AGAGUCUGGGGCAGCACGCGUACUCACAGCCUAGAGGAAGCAGGAGGGGCGCCCAGAUGGGUAUUGCCGGGCCAGACGCUGCAGAGUGGGUGUGGCGAGGGCGGAGUUGUGUGCACCAAGCUGAGUCCUGCUGCAGAUUUCCGUUUGCCUUGUCUGGAUUGGCCUGGGGUACAUCAUCUAAAGAUCCUAGGAUUGCUGCAGGUCAGCAGUCUCCACUGGAAAAAAAGAUCUUGCAUGUAUUUCAAGUCCUCUGAUGAAUCAUGUGAUCUACUAGACCCUGAAGAUACAGUGAAGAGCAAAAGAACACAGAUGAAAUGAGAAACAAAAACGAUGGAGAAAACCAAAAAAGGGGACACAUGGGAUCCAGGCAAUAGGAGAGCCAGCAUAAGAGAGAGCCAGAGGGAUGCCCAGGAUGAGGUGAAGACGAUCUUGGAAAUCAGCCCAGAUGUGCAUGCACCAGUCCACGUGUGGCAGGACCAAGGGAAGUGUCUUCACAAAGAUGAGGCUUUGAUUUGUUGGAGAAACUGUUACCAGAAAAACAGGUCCCGAUCCCGACCCCAAAAGAGUAUUCUUGGAUCUUGCACAGGAAGGAAUUAAAGGUGAGUCACAGAGUGCAGUGAGAAGGAGAUAGUUUAUUGAAAGUUACUCAGAUACAGAGUAGGUGUCCUCAGAAAGCAAAAGGAAGAAUGCACCAUCUUUGUUGUAAACUCUUCUAAUGUAGGGGUUUAAUCUACAUAAAAGCUAAGUUAAAUGUCUAUGUGUGGGUGCUCUGACAGCAUGACAAAAUUUAGGACCUAUUGAUUUAAAGAAAGUUAUCCUUGGCAUUUUAGUUAGUAUAUCAAAGCAUGACUAUAAUAAUCUUAAAAGCAUAUAUUAUAAUGUGACGUCAGGACAUGUGGACAUUCUGUUGUCUGUCAUAGGCGUUUGUUCUUGCAGGCAUUAUUAAGUUGUUUAAUCAGCUGUAAACCUCUUAUGACCAUGGGUUGUGACUGGCAAGGAAUAUGCCUUGCUAGUUGAAAGAUGGAGUUGACUUUAAAAUGGUGUCACCCUGGCUCUCCUAUGCUUCUGUUUCCCCAAAAAAGCCAGGUUACUUGUCCUGUAGAAUGAUCCACAUUCUGAGUUUGGCUAAUGACAUUCUCAUGGUAUUAACUUGUUUCUUUAUAUGUUGUUUUUUCUGUUACCCACAAAAUAAUUCUUCUGAUACACAUUUGUAAUCUUACCAUGCCAGCAUCUGCUACUCUUCAUGUUACCAAAUUUCUGUUCAAGGACCACUAAAGCCACAGUCAGUGGACAUUCUGAGACCUCUAGGGGAGGGUGGAGAUGCUGUCCUUUAAUAUAGUCUGACCCAAGCAACCUCCCCACUUGGCAUGGUGAAUCUAGACAAGCUAAAGAAUUUACUACGCCCCAGGCCUGCACCAGCCCUCUCCUAAGACCUUGGGCACUCUCAUUUCCCUUUUUUUUUUUUCUAAAGGAAGUCAUAGUUUCUCAUAACCUUUGCUAGUGAUCCUGGACCUUGGUUGUUCCCUGAGGCUGUGUUCUCCACACUGCUGCCAUCACUGCUACAGCAGAGGUGCAGAAAGCUCAGGAGAGAGAAGGGAGGAAAAGCUGAAGAUUUUGUGUUAUUCAUGCUUUCCUGACUCCGGCGAAAGUGCUUCCUCCACCUGCAACCAUUUCUGUUUCUAUACUGCUGAGUCUUGUGUUCCCAAGACCAAGGGAAGCCCAUUUUCUUUAAAGCCAGUCACAGUUUCUGUUGGCUGAUGGAAUAUCUGUUGUCCAGCAGUUGUAUUCCUGCUCACAAAUGCAAAACAGUUUGAUGCCACGCACAUUCCAGGGCUUAGACUGGAAAUGCUGUCCCUUGCCCCUUUGUUACCUUCUGACAGGGAUCAGUCCAUAGUGUAGUUGGUGUCACAACAGUCCCGAAGAAGCCUUCCAAUAGAUACCCAAAUGUGAUUCAAAGUGGCACAGGCACACACCACGGUGCCACAUGGUGCCUAUGUAAAGCAGGUAUAUCAGGAAUGCUAAGCAGAGAAGUAGCAGAACACACUGAUCCCCAUGUUCUCAUUGUACAGUUGGGUGCAAUUAAGCUGGCACAAUGGACUCUUCUCAUGGCUACUGUUCCAGUAGUGUGGAUGCCCCCAAAUGCUGCAUAUUUACUAGGACAGCCAGGCAGAGACAGCUGUGUACUAUGAUACAACAGUAGUCCCUCUUAGAGGAAGUGACCUUGUUAGAAGUGGGAGUUUCUGAAGCUCUUCAGCUGUUACUGGCCUGCUCUUCCAUAGCGUUACUUCAGACCUGCUGGCCCAGCUAUCCACUCCGCUAACAGGUCUGUCUCUGCUAACAGGUCUAGCUCUGUCUCCUCAGCACAUGUUCUAGGCUCUGACUGCAAGUGCUGACUUGGGCUCCCAGCCCCACACAGACCCUCUGUUCCAUGAAAGGGCCAUCUAUGCAAAGUGCCCCCCAAAUGCCAAAGGAGCCAAUAAACCAAGGAACAAGACAGACAAAUCUAGUUGUCAGUAAAGAGUGUUUUAUUGGGGAACUUACAGACAGAAGCGUGGUCUUGGAUGGCAGGAAGACAGGUAGGUUUCUGCACUUAUUACCCCCACACCCAGGGCUUAUAUACCACAGGGGAAGAGUAUACAUGCUCUGUGCAAGACAAAGGCUACUACUGUCCAGAACAGGUAAGAAUGCUAAUGUGUCAUAGCCUAGAAUUUGUAUAACAUCAAGGUUGACAUGUUCUUACAAUAGGGAUGGUAAAUAAAGUGGGAAUCAGGAGUCAGUCCUGGGACUGGGGCUAAUCAGAAGUCAGCAUAGAGAAUUAGCAUCCAAGAGGGAGUCACUUUUCUCUCCACAUCCCAGCCCUCUAAUCCAGCUCUUACAAUCUCAUGGACUCACAUUUCCCCCAUAGUCCCUGAGCCUUCAGAGAGGGCUGUGGGUGACAUUUUGAUGGUGUGAGUGACACAUUUUAUCAAUUUGUUUUCUACUUGUUAAGCAGGGGCCACAGCAACAACACAAACAACAGGCGAUGAUAUGUAUGCCAGGUGUAAGACACAGAAUUAAAAAUGCCCUUUACCAUGUUUAUUCAGGAACCAAACCAAGAGGUAUAGAGCAGAACAACAAUAGGAACAGAAGACUAUGGGUGGAAUUAAAAAUGUUUAGUAGGUAUUUGGUGGGGCAGUUCUUCCCCAUUAAACAGAAUUACUGGUAGCUCCAUCUCUGUUGAUUAGGAACAUAGGAUUGUGGGCUGGGAGUACACACCAAACAUGUUGCCUGAGGGGCAAAGGCGCUGGUAUUAUGUGUAAGGUUACAGGGGCAGCAAAGGACCAUGUCAAAUGGCCAGCCAGGGUGCUUCUUAAAAGGGACUGUGUUCCAGUUUAUUGGUAUGUGGAGUGUUUUGGCCCAGACUUCAGCAGGAUCAAUGGAGACCACUUUAGUUGGUAGGGAAUUCCUUGCUGUCUGGAAAGAAAUGCUCUAUCCAACAUAGGGGAAGUUGCUAGUCCAACCCCCAUUCAAGUGUCUCCUCCCUGGCUCAAGAUCUUGAGGAGUUCUAAAUAACCUUUGCCAUUGGCCUUUUAUCUGCUCAGGUCAGAGAUGCAUCUGGUUGGACUUUCUUUACUAUUAUGGUUAAUGGAUCCAUCUCUGUGGUGGUCCUGAGUCAUUGGUGUGGUGCCAGCACCAUAUUUGUCUCAACUAAAUUAAGGUUUCUAAUGGCUUGAGGCAAAAUCUUUGUCUAACUAUGAAAGAUAUUGGAUUUUGAGAGUGCUCAAAACUGUGCCUUCAAAAUACCAUUUUUCCUUUCAAUCAACCCUGUUGCUUGGGGGAGUAUACAGUAAGUGAAAUACCCAGUCUAUGUCCCUUUCAUGCAUCCAGUCUUGGACACCGUGUCUGGUGAAAUGCAUGCCUCGAUUGCUAUCAAUAUGUGGAGGGUAUCCUUACAUGACACUGAGUUGCUCCAAGCCCCUGAUGGUGGCUGUUUGGUUUGCUCUUACAAGGGAAAGCUUGCAACAAUCCCAUGGCAGUGUAUACACAUGUUAGUGCAUACUUUCGUCUCAAGAUUACUGGCAAGGGUCUGAUGUAGUCUAUCUACCAGUCUGUCACAGGGGUGGCUGUCUUAUGUAUAUGUCCAGGUGUAUGUGGGAUGUGGCAGAGGUACAGACGGGAACAAAUUAAGCAGUUUGCUACCGCCACCACUAAAUCUGCAUAGCAGAGAGCCAAUCCUGCUCCCUUUGCUAUUUGGCAGCCCAUUCAUGCACUGAAAUCCCCACUGUGAUAUGUACCUAAUCAACUAGCUCAGUAUUCUAAUUUUUGCUAGGAUGUCUGCCUCCAUGUUUCUGGGAGGUGAAUCUGACCAGUGUGCUGAAGCAAUUAGGUCCACAGUGGGUUCCUGUAGACUUUUCCAAAUGUCUUUCCACAUAUCAGCUCCCCAUAAGGAUUUUUAAAUUAUAUACCAAUCAUCUCAGGCCCUUUGGGCAAGCCAAAUUGUAAGACCCUUAAGUACUGCCAGACUGUCUGUACAGAGAACUAUAGGUGGUGGCUCACGGGUACAAACCAACCAUGUAGCUUGGAGUUCUGCCCAUUGACUGCUCUGUUGCAUUCCCAUCUCAAACCAGAUACUGUCUGUGGUUGUGCAGCUACUACUGUCCAUACACAGGGUUACCUUGGCUCAAUGCAUCUAAGUACCAAGCAUUAUCAGGAAUGAGGGCCAUGCCUUCAUGUACCAUUGGAGACAUCUCCUGUGAGGGCUCCACAAUAGGGGCAGCACUGGACUCAUAAUGUACUGGCCCUAAGAUAGCAUGCAGUUCAUCUCUUAAGGGAUGCAUGGAGAAGGCACUAUGUUGUUGCAUGUAUGCAUGGCACUUUUGUAAAGUGGAAACUUGGGCAAUAGCUGAUACAGGCCUGGCAAACACUCCUACCCAGUCCUUGAUAGGAAACCUGUUCUCCCUGGUACCAGGAAAGCAGCAGUUAUGGAUUCAACUUGUGGCAAGACCUUCUAUAUCCCCAGGACCUGUUAUUCAACUGGGAAAUAGCAGGUUUCAGUACCCUUCCAUUAAUUGUGACUAAAAUUCUAAAGGAACUGCUUCCCUAUGCUGGACUUUAUAUUUUCAUCAUCCAAAAUUAUAGUUUAGUUUUACCUUUAAAAAUAUGUUUUUUGUUCUCAUUUGUUCCAUAGGUUUCUCCUUGAAAUUUAUAUUGUAUGGUAAGGUUUCCUAUUGUUUGCAUUUUGUGGAUUGCACGCCAAGGUGUGGUUUAAUGUAUUUCUAUUACCUGUAUUUUCUGUAAAUUGGUAGUUUGGUAUAGAGGUUUGUGUACAUUCAGGGUUUUUUUUUUUCUGUAAGUAUUGAUGGUUCUGUAAAAGGAAAAUAAAAUCUUGGGGCCCCAAAAUUACUAAGCUAAAGGGAAAAGUCAAGCUGGGAACUGCUUAGGGUAAACCUGCCUCCCAUCUGUUCAGAGUCGCCCCUCUGCUCACUGAGAUAAACACAUGUCUGAUUCCCUCAUUUGGAAAGGCUAAUCGGAAACUCAAAAGAAUGCAACCAUUUGUCUCUCAUCUAUCUGUGACCUGGAAGCCCCCUCCUUGCUUCGAGUUGUCCCGCCUUUCCAGACGGAAUCAAUCUUUAGCUUACAUAUGUUGAUCACUGUCUCAUGUCCCCUUAAAAUGUAUAAAACCAAGUUGUGCUCUGACCACCAAAGUUGUGCUGAGAAGUGACACCAAAGAACAUGGUGGCAUAAGAACUCCAAGGACCCCUCCCCUCCACAGCGGCAAUGUGCUUGUUGAAACACCAGUAUAAAAAAACUCGAUGAGAGCUGUGAUUGGAUUUAGUGUUGAUAUAUUUUUUGUAAAUUGUGGUAAAACAUGCAUACUAUAUAAUUUACCUUCUAACCAUUUUUUCAGUGUACAAUUUGGUGGCAGUAAGCACAUUUACAAUGUUGUGUAACCACCGCCAAUAUCCAUUUCCAGAACAUUUUCAUCAUCCCAAACAGAAACUGUACCCAUUAAACCAUAACUGCCCAUUCUCCCUACCCCCAGCCCCUGGUAAUCUCUAUUCUAUUUUCUGUUUCUAUGAAUUUGCUUAUUCUAGCUACUUUAUAUAAGUAAAAUAUCAUAUUUGUUUUUAUUUCUGGCUUAUUUCACUUAUAGUGUUUUCAAGGCUCAUCCAAUUAGAAUUUCAUUCACUUUUAAGGCUGAAUAAUAUUCCAUGCUUAUGUGCACCGUGGGUUGUUUAUCCAGUCAUCCUCUGAUGGACACUCGGUUGCUUCCACCUUUUGGAUAUUGGGUAUAGUGCUGCUAUGGGCCUGAGUGUACACAUAUCUGGGUGAGUUCCUGCUUUCAGUGCUUUUGGGUAUGCCCAAAAGUGGAAUUGUUGGCUCAUAUAGUAAUUCUAUUUUUACUUUCUUGAGGAAUCACUAUUCUGUUUUCCAUGGUGGCUGCACCACUGUAUACUCUCACCAGCAGUGUACAAGUGUUCCAGUUUCUCCAUAUCUUCACCAACACUUGGCCUAGUGAAGUUUACCAUAUUUUUAUGUCCUUAUUGGCAUUCCUUUUUUUUUUUUUUUUGUGAAACAGAGUCUUGCUCUGUUGCCAGGCUGGAGUGCAGUGGCACAAUCUCGGCUCGCUGUAACCUCCACUUCCCAGGUUCAAGUGAUUCUCCUACCUCAGCCUCCUGAGUAGCUGGGACUACAGGUACCUGCCACCAUGCCCAACUAAUAUUUGUAUUUUUUUGGUACAGACGGGGUUUCACCAUGUUGGCCGGGAUGGUCUUGAUCUCUUGACCUCGUGAUCCGCCCACCUCGGCCUCCCAAAGUACUGGGAUUACAGGCAUGAGCCACCAUGCCUGACCAGCAUUCCUUAUUUUUAUGUCCUUAUUGUAUAUCUUCUUUGGAGAAUUGUCUAUUCAUGUCUUUUACUUAUUUUUGAAUGAGAUUGUUUUGCUAUUGUUGAAUUGUAGUUCUUUACAUAUUCUGGAUAUUAAUUCUUUAUCAGAUAUGUGAUUGGCAAAUAUUUCCUCCUGGUCUGUGCAUUUUCUUUUGAUUCUCUUAAUAGUGUCCUUUGAUGCAAAAAAGUUUUUAAAUUUUGAUGCAUUCUAAUUUGUCAUUUUUCUUAUAUUACUUGUACUAUUGGUCACCAGCCAAGAAACCACUACCAAUUCUAAUGUCCAUAAGAUUUUCCUCAGUAUUUUCUUGAGGGUUUUACAGGUUCAAUUCUUAAGAUUAGUUCUUUGAGUCAUUCUGACUUAAUUUUUGAAAAGGGUGUAAUGGAAGGACAUGAAUUUUUUCCAGCAUCAUUCUUUUGCAUGUUGAUAUCCAGGUUUCCAGCACCAUUUGUUGAUGCACCAUCUGUUGCAGUGGGGCUGACACAUUUGUAAGAUGCAGUGAGCAUUAAUACAUGGGAGCACCAUGCAUUUAUUUACCUGUCUUUACUUCACAGUUGUUUUGAGAAGGCUUUCACUGACAGACUCAACAGAAAUGAAUAUAUAUGACUUCUUAUAAAAUCAUAUUCAAGUAAAAUUAUAAAUUUUAAAAUGUUAAGACUGGAGCAAGACUGGAACAUCACUAGACAAGCUGAAACAUAGGCUGAAAUGAAGGGUUAUGUUUACCUUGCUACAAAUUCUGUUGGCCCACAAUCUCUUAUGCUUAUUGCUUAAGAGAGCCACAGAGUGGGGUGAUAGCUCACAUAACCAGUCCCUGGUUUUCUGCUUCAGAAAGAAGUUUAAAUAUUCUGCUUAGACAGAGUAAGGAAAUUAACUGAAAGAUGUCUAAUGUGAAGUUGGCAUCUACAAAGUGAAGGAGUGAGUAGUAAGUGUAAACAUCAGGAAUCCCAGGAGAUUCUAUCUUUUUGCACGGAAAUGGCCUCACUAUGCACUGCUGAAGGGAGAAGGUCCCUUCAGGGGACCUUCAUGAUGAAGAAGAACACAAUAUGAUAUAGGAAUUUUCUGCUGCAGCCCUAAACUGAAUUGUCCUUCUCUCUAACUACAGGUCUCACAAAGUUUUAUAGCUUCAAUGAUUUCACCUGGGCCAAGAUUUUGGUUUUUUUUGAUGUUAUUUGUUUGAACUGCUGCCUGGGGCUUAGAAAAGUGACUUGGAUAUUUUGUCAAAAUGGAUUUUCUUUGAUGGAAUGUGAAAUCCGUAAACACUCUGCUUUCCUGCUGUAUCCCCAGAGCAGGUUGAGUACCUUGCACUUCUUCUCAGCACUUCGCUAGAAGUGGUAGAAGAUUUGGAGUUAGGGCCUCCCUCAAUCCCUACCCUUUCUUUAAUUCAGAGGAUCACAAACUGUUGGGAGAAGAGUGGUAUCUUGGGCCUCUAGCUGAUCUGAUGAAUAUUAAUAUCCAAUGUCCUGUAGUGAAGUCAUGUGUGCGUGUAACAUCACUUCUUCACGCAGUGUCAUAGGAAAGUGGGUUCCUGGACCCCAGGUUAAGAGCCUAAGCACUAAAGGCACAGAGCUAGAGCUCUAGGAGGGGAGGGAUGGCUGGGGUGGAACCUCGUCUUGUCAUUUAGUCCUGGGGCCUUUUCACUCCUUACAUGGUGGGUGGUGGGCGUCUGGCAGGUGCCGAUGUUGAUGGAGUCAAGGGAGGGAACUAGCCGGGACAGGGAAAAACAGGGUUGGAGAGAUAAUUAAGGUGGACGUUAUUUUUUCUGAGCGUAAGUCGUGGCUGGAAAUCUGGAGAGCCUGAAAGAGUAUCCCCCUACCCAAACCUGUUUUUUCCUUUUCCCUCAAGCCUCAUUUGGCCACAGGCCCAGUGUCAACACCAGGGGGCGCCACAGACCAUGAAGGCACCGUGCAGCUGGGAUUGUUUGUGGUCGGCUACUGGGUCCCUGACUUAACCAGGGGAGCCAAGACCCUGUAGCCAAGUGGCCUGGAUUCAACCUGCAGCUCAGGUCUUACUGACACUUCUCCCCCUGGUGCCUCAGUUUCUUAAUCUGUGAAAUGGUGAGGACAUUACAGCAUUUACCUCUGGGGCGGGUUUCUCAACAGCAGCACUAUUAACAAUUUGGGACAGAGAAUCUUGUGGAGUGGUCUGUCCUGUGCAUUGUGGGAGGUUUGCCAGCAACACCCCACUCACCCCCUCCCACCAAUCCCCAUGUGACAACCGAAAAUGUCCCAGGAUUUUUAGGUCUCCCUUGGGUCUAGAAGCUGCACUUAGGCAUUUUCCCACCUGACACUUGAGUUCAUCUCUGCUUUGGUCCACAUAAGGCCACUUUAAAAAAAUGUUGUUUCUUUAAAGAUUCUAACCAUCUUUUAAACAAAUCCAUUUUCUUCCUCUAUUUCUGCAUUCAGUUAAUCCUUCCAAACCCUUUGUUUAGUAUAUCUUGAAAUGUAUCAAUUCCUGUUCUAGUAAUUAACAUAUGUGACUUGCAUGAUAUCUGCUAUGACCCUUAGUAGAGCUCUGAUUCCUUUAGCACAGGGAAUGUGUUCUCGAUUCUGCUCUGGAUGAUGUAAAUCAAUUUAUUUUACUUUACUUGUCUGGGAUGUUGCUCCUCAUCUGUAAGAUGUAAAUGUGGAUAUGGCUUGGAUUACUAAGUGGUUUUAUUUCUUAAUUCACCUGACAUUUGUUGUGUGCCUGCUGCAAGUCAAAUACAUGGCAUGGUAUUGUUUCCUUGUUCACACCACAGCAAAUGAGAAAAUGAGACAUUAUAGCCAGGUGUGGCGGCACAGGCUUGUGGUCCUAGCUACUCGGAAGGCUGAGGCAGGAGAAUUGCUCCAGCCCAGGAGUUUGAGGUUACAGUAAGGUAUGAUAUCACCAUUGCAUUUCAACCUGGGCAACAGACCCUGUCUCUGAAAAAAGGGAAAAAGACCUUGUGAGCUGUCUACGUGUACUCUAUGUCUCAGGAGACUCAUAUCCUGUAAUUUUUCUAAAUGGCGUCUCCAUGUGGUCUUUCAUGAAUGUUUGUCUGGUAUUCUCUAUCCUUUUACUUUCAACUUUUCUUUACCUUCUACUGAAAUUAUGUCUUUUGUAAACAGCCCAUGAUUAUUUAUUUAGUUAUUUAUUUUUACCCCCCUGCACUAUUUGUCUUGUAAUUGGAGUGUCUGAGUCCAUUAUGUUUAAUGUAAUUAUUGACCUCAUUGGGUUUAAGUCUGUCCAUUGUCAUUUGCUGCCUUCUAAUAUUAUCUCUUUCUUGCUCAACUAUUUUUCUUAUGUUACCUUCUUUAGAUGAAUAAAAACCUUUGCAUUAUUGUAGUCUUCUAAGUGUCCUAAUUACACAUUCUCUUAUUAUUUCUUUAAUUAUCUGAGAAAGCAUAAUGAUCUGUGACUUAUUAUAACCAAUAGCAGACCACAACUUCCCUGACUUUCACCUACCUGUGCCCACAGCCCAGGGGAGAAUCAGUGCUCUGGCUCUGAGACACAGGGGUGGUGGGAGUAGGAGAGUGAUUGGAUGAUGAAUCUGUAGCUGCAGAGGCAUCUGGGCCCCUCACCUGCAUUCCUCAUAGAUGUCUCCUCCAUUGAAUGCCUGCGAUGCCCUCUCCUCUGUGUACUCCUGCCAGAGUCUCCCUAUCUCCACUGACAGCAGCUCCACCCUUCUGCUCACUCAGUCCAAUACUGUGGGUGUCCUUGAUUCUUCUUCUCACAUCCAUUAGCAAGUGCUGUGAGUCCAUCUUCAAAUUCAUCCAGAAUCCCUUCACUUCUCACUAUUUCCCCUGCUCACACCCUAGUCAAGGUAAGCAACGUGUCCAUCCUAGAAUACUGUACUCCUUUCCCACCAUUUUCCCCACUGCAUCACUGGUUCCCCACCUCUCAAUUCUGUUCUCAGCACAGCAGCCAGAAAGAAGCUUUCAAAGGAUGAGCCCUACCAUGUCCCACUUUUCAAAACUGUCCUCCCCAUGUCAUUCAGAGCAAAGGUCAACACCCUUCCCACACCCUUCAGGGCUACCUGCUCUAGCCACACCUUUGACCUCACUUCAGUUUCUCUGUGUCCAGCCCUUCUGGCCUCUUCCUCCUUCCAGGAACACAGACAAUUUCCUGCCCUAGUGCAUCUGCACUGAAGGUUCCCCUGCCUGAAAAGAACUUUCCCAGACAUCCUUGUAGACAACUCCUCACAUCCCUCAAAUCUUUACUCCAAGGUCACAUUUGCAACAAGGCCCAUGCUGACCACCCAGCACAACAGCCACCUUCCUGUCCCCACAGCCCACCCUCUGGAUCACCUGCCACACAGCACUUGCCACCUUCUAACUCAAGCAUUUUCUGUUCCUACUCUGCUUAUACUAUAUCUAUCAUCUGCCUACAGAGGUGUCCAAUUUUUUGGCUUCCCUGGGCCAGUUGGGAAGAAUAAGCAUUGUCUUGAGCCACACAUAAAAUACACUAAUGACAGCUGAUGAGCAGAAAGAAUAGAAAAAAGAAAAACAUGUGCGUGCAUAAUUUUCAUGAUAUUUGCUACCACAGAUAAGCAAAAAAACUUCUUACAUUCAAAGCUGUCCCGGGCCACACGCAGCCCGAGAGCUGCAGGUUGGACAAGCUUGCAUCUAGAACGUAUACACCACAAGGCCAGAAAUUUUUCUGUUUUUACUUUAAUGAUGUUUUCUAAAUGCAAAAACAGUCAUAUACCUAGCAGACAACAAAUGUCAGUUGAAUGAAUGAUCACUGUAGAGCACCUCUGUAUUCUAAAGGCAAUAUCUUUAUUAACGUAGCUAAAGAACAACAUCAUCUCACACCAACAUCAGUGCUGCCAGUGCUUUUCUCACCAGGGCUGCUUGUGUGUCCUUCCCACCUCCUCCCACACCAACCCUCCUGCACACUGCAGCGCACAGCCAUAUUUUUCUGUUCAGGAAAGAUAAUCCUAGCCUUGUGGGUCCAAUUUUCCAACCCCAUAUAAAUCUAAAUCAGACUCUGCUUUAUAAAUGCAUGAGUUUGGAUUGGAGCCAGCACUGGGAUUACUACAACUCAGGCAGGAAGAAGAGUAGGAAAGCAGAAGAGGAGUUCCAACAGAAAGUUACCUACGAUGAGAAACUAUGGGACCCCUCCUCUCUGCAAAUUUCAGAAUCUGCUUCCUUUAAGAAGGCUGGGGAAAAAGAUGGAAAAUACAAUCCAGGAAAGAGACCUGGAAGGAGGGCAAAAGAUACAGGGGACUGAAAAUUUGUCUCUUCAUACCGGAAGGACUUCGAUGUGUAGGGACCACCCUAGGUGACAUCCAAGUCCCUGUGAUCACAGGUCCUGGUGGGACAAGGUUCUACUGAAGGGCCAAGGACAGUGGAGCAGCAAAGAUGACCCAGGUGAGCUGUGACCACAUAAAGCCCAUGGUGGCCUGAGCACACACUGGGCACAGCCCCAUCUACUCUCCUCCCCUGCAACAAAUCAGCACAAGAAACACGUGGACUCUGGAAGGUUCUCAUGUCUUCCAUUUAUUUUGUCUCUCAAAUUUUAGGAAUCUUCUCCUUUAAUUAACCCAUCAACCCGUCAUGGAAAUAAUUUGAAAAAAGUAAAUUUAUACUCAGAUUCUAAUUUUAAUAGGGAAGUAAGAAGUUACAGCUCAGUGCACCAUGAAGUUGAGACAGAGAUGGAGACAUCCCAGCACCACUUCUCUGGAACAGGAAAGGUGAUCGGGGAAGGAAUGUAGGUCAGUGUGGGGAACAGGGUCAUGGUGGACACGGGUGUGGGCUGGUCUCCCCACCACCUCACAUUAUGCCUAUAGGGACACAGACACAUUCAGAUGCCUUUGCAGAAAGAGAAGUCAGGGUUCUUGAAGUCACAAAGGGAAGGCAUGAACAAAUCUUGCCUCUCAGUCCCACACAAGGCAGCUGUCUCACACUAUAGAAAAAAUAUUCAUGAACAAAUUCAUAUCACUCACAGUGAGGGGUCACACCUUCAACAGCCCAUCAUGUGCUGAAUACAUCCAAGUCAAAGAAACCCCAUAGCACAGCUAUAUCCACUGUUACCCCAACAACCCACACACAUCAGCCUCCCCAGGGUCUCACCUUUACAAGCCGUGAGAGACACAUCAGAGCCCUGGGCACUUUGGCUGCCUGGGGUAGAACAAAAACAGAACCUGGUCAGAUCCCACAGGAGAUGUGGCUAGAGGAGGAAUUGUGGGGUGGGUGAGCUCCCCCAUGGGCUCCCAACCACAAUAUCCCAAGGAUCUCAGGGAUCAGCCUCCUUCAUACUUACUUGCAGCCUGAGAGUAGCUCCCUCCUUUUCUAUCUGCGGGAAGAAAACGUCCUGUGAGAGGCCAGGAAGGUAGCAGGGCCAUGAGGUCCUAGAGGAACCUCCUAGUCUUGGAACCUUGAGAAGUUUCCAGAAAUGUGUGACUGCAAACCAAGGGCAGGAUCAGGAAAAACAAGGAAAGCAGAUGUGGGUCCUGGACCAACUGCCCUCCUAAGGUCUGUCCUCAGCAGGGACCUUCCCCUGACCUGUGAUUACUGGGGUCAGAUCCCCAUCACUACAAUCAUCAAGGUGAGAAAUCUGUCCUUCAUUGUCACAGGUGCUUACAAAAGAGUAAGUGCUGGCACACAGGGCCCAGGCUGGGUAGGCCCAUGAAUGUGGAUGGUGCUUCCCGGUAACCAGGCAGAACACAUUUCUACCUGGAGCUUGAAACCCCCAGUGGGACAAGAAAACUCAAACCCGACUCCUCACCCCUUCCCCACCUGAGCUCUUCUUCCUCCACAUCACAGCAGUGACCACAGCUCCAGUGACCACAGCUCCAAGGAGAACCAGGCCAGCAAUGAUACCCACAAUGGGGAUGGUGGGCUGGGGAGAGGGCUCUGGGAAAGGAGGGGAAUGUGAGGGUUCUGACCUCCAGGACCCAGCCCCGACCCUGCUAAAGGUCUCCAGAGGGGCUCCUGCUUUCCCUAAGAGACAUGGCCGCCCCCAUCUCUCUCCUUACCCCAUCUCAGGAUGAGGGGCUUGGGCAGCCCCUUGUGCUGCACAUGGCAUGUGUAUCUCUGUUCCUCUCCAGAAGGCACUACCACAACCGCCCACUUCUGGAAGGUUCCAUCCCCUGUGGGCCUGGUCUCCACGAGCUCCAUGUCCUGGGUCUGGUCCUCCCCAUCCCGCUGCCAGGUCAAUGUGAUCUCCGCAGGGUAGAAGCCCAGAACCCAGGACCUCGUUAUGCCUCAUGUUCAGAGAGGGGGGUGGGUCACGUGUGUCUUGGGGGGGGUCUGAAAGGAAGAGUCGGAAAACUCAGGCACUUUGCAUUCCUCAUGGGACACCCCAGCAGCGCCCAUGUGACCAUCCUGAUGAAUAGGACACCUGGGGUGGGGAAGGGAGCACAGAGCCCAGACACCAGCCUGGACACAGGCGCCUGGGAUAAUCUCCUAUUCCUUGGAAAGUUCUAGUCUCUGAGCAGGGUAGCAGGGACUUCUGGUCCUGAUCUGAGUGGAGGCCAAGGGACUCAGAGGAGCUGGAGUCAGACUCCGACACAUUGAGUGUGAGGCAGAGAACAAGGCCCGGGAGGAAAAGUCCUGGUGCCCAAGGUUGCUGUGGGGUGAAAGGGGACCGCGGAUCAGUCUUCCAGGGAUUGUCUUCCCCUCCACUCCCUCAGAGACUUCAUCCCUUAAUUGUCCCAGGAAGAGCAGGGUGGGCCCUCAGAGUCAAUCUCUGAUACAGGAUCUGGAAACCCAGGAGGAUUCCUCUCCGUCAGGACAGGAGGGAGGGCGAUAUUCUGGUGGUGGUUCCAUUUUCUUCCCCUCCUUGUGCGAGGCCAGCCCGGGAGAUCUACAGGAGAUCGAGCAGGCUCCCCAUGGCCCCUGGUACCCGCGCGCUGCAGCGUCUCCUUCCCGUUCUCCAGGUGUCUGCGGAGCCACUCCAUGCAGGUGCCCUCCAGGCAUACUGCUCAUACCCGCGGAGGAGACGCCCGUCGGGCCCCAGGUCGCAGCCAAACAUUCCCUGGAGGAUGUGAUACCCUGGCCCAGUUCCCGCGGUCAGCCCCGCCCACCGAGCCCUGGCCCGGCCCCUAGCAACCUGCGGAGAUUUUGGCCUCAACUGAAGAUGAAACCAGACUCACGGCGUCACUGUCGACCCGCACGAACUGCGUGUCGUCCACGUAGCCCACGGCAAUGAAGCUGGGCUCCCCGCGGCCCGGCCAGGAAACGGCGGUGCUGAAAUACCUCAUGGAGUGGGAGCCUGGGGGCGAGGAGGGGCUGAGACCCGCCCGACCCUCCUCCCGGCGCGGCUCCCCGGGUCCUGCGCCCCAGCCAGGUGGACCUUUCGCUCCUCACGGCAGAGGCCGUUUCCCUCCUGACCCCGCACUCACCCGCCCAGGUCUCGGCCAGGGCCAGGGUCCCCGAGAGCAGCAGGAGGAGGGUUCGGGGCGCCAUGACCCCAUCGUCGGCGUCUGGGGAGACUCCGAGUCCCGGUGGGUGCGUGGGGACUUUAGAACCGGGGCCGCGCGACGCUGAUUGGCUUCCCUAGAAACCCGACACUCAGUGGGAGUGAGAACUGGGUCCGCGUCGUGAGUGUCCAGGAAGAAGGACCCGUCGCAGGCUGGGAGAGGGAGAAGAGAAACUCUGCGGAGAUGGGGAAUCCCCAAUGCUGCACCUCCCCAGCCCAUGCACCGCCUUCGGGGCCUGAGACCCUGAGAGCCAUGCCUGGGGCUCUGGGACUUCGCCCUGACCCCGCUCCUCCUGUGACAAACGCUCUGUCUCAAUGUUCCCUGAGUCUUGGUCCAGGAGCUGUCCGAGAAACCAGGAAGAAACCCUCAGCUUGGGCCCCGUCCCUCUCCUUUCACUUUUCAUCCGGGAAUUCCUGUCCCUGAAAUGGACUCCCUGCUUCCCCGCUGCUUACCUGUUCCCCUGGACUCUUCAAAAAGAAAACUCACCCCAGGGAGCUUGGUGCCAGAGAGGGAGCUCUCCCUGGGAAUGGAGGUGUAGAGACAGAGGUUUUUUUCUUUUAUUUCUUUUUUCUUUUUCUUUAAAUCUGGAAAAGUUGUGCCUGGGUGCAUGAGAUAGUAUAGAGACCAGUUUGCUUUUUGUGUAUUAACUACAGUGGGUAGCAGAAUCUUGGUAACCCCUGAAUGAUCAGGAAUCUAAUCGGUAAAAACAUGUGACUUUGGCCCCUUGAUAUAUAAAGUGUCUAAAAGCAUUACAACAGGACUCACAAAGCUCCUAAGUUUCACUUUUGCAAACAAGGUAUCUGUGACUCCCGCUUGUGGUGUUUUAAAUUUACCUUUAUUCCAUAGCCCUGAGUUUCUGUGAGUCCAGGACAUCUCCUCAAUACAAAGUAGCCACUGUGUUCCUAUGUGUUGCAACCAGGAGUCAGUACAGACUUCAUUCACCUCAAAGUUGCAAGCGCUCGAUGCAGUCACAAUGUCCAUCACCAGUGCUCAUGCACUGCCUGUUUUUAGGAAGUAUCCACAUCUAAGUGGUGUGUAUAUUUCUUAGGAACACUUAGUAUUUUUAAAACCUGAUUAACAUAAAAACAAUUAGUUUUUAAGCAGACCCACUUAAGGUAUUAAAGGCCAACUGCAAGUAACACCCUGCGAGGCUCUGUAGAUGGAUCUAUUGAAAUACCAUUAAAAAAAGUGUUCAAACCUAAGAGUUGUGCUGCUUUUGAAUUCUAUCCCUCUACUCCUUUUCCUCACCUACUGCUUCUCCAGCCCUUCCCUCCGUCCCUCUUAUCACUCAGCCCCUCCUCUCCCCUUAGUCCCCAUCACACUGUCACUCCUGAAUUGUGACACUGGCACUCUCCCGUUACCUGCUACGUGACUGUUCUCUCCACAGUGGUCCUGCUAAUGUGAGUCAAAGUGUGUCAUUUCUCCACCUAAAACACUCCAGUGGCUCCACCUUGGUCUUGUGAAGCUUCUAGAAUGUCAGGCACGUGAGCAUAUGAGGGGAUACCUGGUUCAUUGUAGGGACUAAAUUAAUUUUUGUUGACUGAAUGAAUGAAAUAUGAGUAUAUUAAAUUGCAUCACAGAUAAUUAUAAAAUGCAAAACACUGAAAAAGUUCAGAAAGAUUUUAUUUUAUGUAACUAGUGUAUAUAUCAAUUCAUCAGUUCAUUCCAUUAGUCUGUUGAGCCUGUGUAUGAAUUUUAUAAGACUGUGUAAAAAAUUAUCACAAACAUUGGCUUUAAACAACACCCAUUUAUUGUAUUUAUUUAUUUGUUUUUAUUUAUUGUAUUCAUUUAUUUGUUUUUAGAGACAGAGUCUCUAAAAACUGUCAUCCAGCGUGAAGUGCAGUCACAUGAUCAUGGCUCACUGCAGCCUCAAACUCCUGGGCUCAAGGAAUCCUCCUGCCUCAGUCUUCAGAGUAGACAGGACUGCAGACAAGUGCCACCACACCCAGCUAAUUAAAAAAAAAAGUGUAGAGACGAGUGUCUCACUGUAUUACCUGGGCUGGUCUCACACUCCUGGCUGCAAGUGAUCCUCCUGUGUCAGCUCCUCAAAUGUUAGGAUUACAGGAGUGCACCACCACGCCUGGCCAAAAAACACCCAUUUAUCUGUUUAUAGUACCUUAGUCAGAAAUCUGGGCAUGAUGUAGAUGGAAUCUCUGUUCCAGGCUUCCCAAAUCUGAGUCUUCAUUUUGAAUCCUCCUUUAGGCUUAUACAGAGGUGGCAGAAUGUGCUUUCUUGCAGUUUUAAGACUGAGGUCCCUGUUCCUUGCUGGCUGUCAAUGUAGAGAACAGGGAGGGCUGUACUCAAUUCCUGGUGCCCACCAGUGUUGUUUCCUACACAGCCCCUUCAUUUUCAAAGCCCACAGUGGAGGAAACCCCUCAUGCUGAAUCCCUCUCACACUGUGAAUCUCUAUGCUCAGGAAGAACCCAGUCCUUUCAAGGACUCUCCUGAUUAGGACAGUCCAAGCAGCAUAAACCCAGCCUGAAGUCAACUAAUUGAGCCCCUUUAUUAUGUCUGCUAAAUUCCUUCACAGCAGCACCUACAUUAGAGUUGGUUGAAUAACUGGGGGAAGGUGAAUGACCAGGAGGUGGUUGUUGGGGCCAUCAUAGAAUCACUCUAGCAAGGGAUGAAUCUUCCUUUUGUGUUUAAUUGGGACACAGUUGGAAAUUGAAGUUCAAGUAAAGUGAUCAUUGUGAACGAUAAUAAAAUACAUCCUCUUCAGCCAUGGAACUUCUCCUUUCCUUUUAAAACUAAGUUACAUGUUUAAUGUCUUAUAAUUAAGUUAGGCAGGGGUGGUGGCUCACGCCUGCCAUCCUAGCACUAUGGAAGGCAGAGGAAGGCAGACUUGUUGACUCCAGAAGUUCAAGAUCAGCCUGGGCAACAUGGUGAAACUCUCAUCUCUACAAAAAAACUAGAAAAUUAGCCUGGCAUGGUGGUUCAUGACUAUAGUCCCAGCUACUCAGGAGGCUAAGGUCAGAGGAUCCCUUGAGCCCAGGAGGUCGACACUGCAGUGCAUGGUGAUCAUGCCACUGCACUCCAGCCUGGGUGACAGAGUGAGACCCUGUCUCAAAAAUAAUAAUAAUGAUGAUGAUAAAUUUAGAGCAAAUGCAAAUUAACAUGUAAUAAUGCAUCCUGUCUUGUGAAAAUGUAUUAGUUAUUUACUAUGCAUAACAAAUUAUGUAAAACUUAGCAGCUCAGAACAACAAAUAUUCCUCAUCUCCCACAGUUUCCAAUGAUCAGAAAUCCAGGAGAGGUUUCCCUGAGUGCUUCUGGCUCAGGGCCUCUCACAAGGUUGCAGUCCAGUUGUCAGCCUAGGCCUGCAUCAUCUGAGGACUUCACUGAGCAAGGCCAUAGAGGAGUCCUCGAGCUACAAUUGGCCAUCAGAGGAGUCCCCUGUCUCCUAGGAAUGUCCUGCCUUAGUGUCACUGGUAUGACCCAUCAGUCGUUGGGAACAGCCCAUGGGAAGAGGGCCUCAGCACCAAUGUACUGAGGAUGUCAGAACACAAGAGCAGGGCCUUGGGAGAUUGCCCACAAGUGUGACUCAAACCUUCUGCCCUGACGGGUCUGGGCCCUUGGAAAUCAAAUCCUCUCAGGCUGAAUUGCUGGAUGAUUCUGCUCACACUUACAAUGGGGCAAGGGAAACCAGAAGGCUCCCAGGUGGAUCUCUGGUUUCCACACACACUUCUACCCUUGUGUGAAACAGCCAUGCCUUCUCCUGGGGAUGAGGAUCUAUUUAUUACCUGGGCCUGGAGAGGAGGAGAAUCUUCUUCUCACCAAGUGGUAUCUGGGCACACACUGUCCAAACUUCUCUGGUGACUAAAGUAAUGUGUAGUUCAGUGGGCUGUCUUUUGUCUCCUUUUAGGGGUACACUCCUUUGGAAACCAGAACCUCGUAUCCUGCACAGCCCAGUGUUGGGAGAUAAAAUAUGCGAAAUACCCCAUUGAGUGAAUCUAAGAGAUUGGACAUGGAGCCAAACCUGCUUCCGCCUUUUGAUUUCUGGACACACAUGUUCUUCCUAUUGAGAACACAGAACUCUAGAGACGUCUCUGAUUCAAACAAUGCACUGUGUCCUGAAAGAUGGCACCCACCCCUCAGAGUGCUUCCUCCAGGCUGGCACUGAGUUGUGCCUGUAGAAGACCUGUCCAGCCUUCCUUGUGGCUGGCAGCUCCUGGGUAGUGCAGAUGGUGAUAGGAUUAGUGGAACCCACAGCCGUGGAAACACUGAAACUUUCCCUGCAAAGUGGGUCCUUCAGGCAGAUAAUGGGCUAGGAGCACUGCCUAGCCUGCAGACCAGGAAUGUCAACAGCACCCAGAGAGUGGUGCUGGCUGUGUCUGAGAGCAGGACAGGAAAACCCACCCAUAGAAUCGGUACCUAACCCUGUGAAGAUGAAACUCUGGCCCUUCCAGGUUGGAAGUAGCUAAAUGUAGUCAACUUGUUACUUAGUGGGUAGUCAUGUAAAGAAAUAGUGCCCCACUAGGGCACAUCAUGGGCCUCAAUUGCUGAUGAGUUGGACAUUCAGAGGUGGCAGCAGCUGGAUCUGCCUUGGUGUGGGGAAGUCAGUGCUGCUGGCCCCUUACGGAGCCUCAUGCCUGCCACUGUGGUUGCUCCAUUCAUGCACUCAUCCUACCAGGCCUGGGCUGACCCAUGGUGAAAGCUGGCUAACUGCCAUUUGUCUGUUUGGUAGUUCAGUGCCACUUCAGACUUGGGUGUUUUCUGUGGGUGUCAGCAAGGGAUUCAAGCUCAACCCAGGUGGACUGUUUUCACCUGAUGAUGAAUGCUGUUGGGCCUGUACCAUCUAUGACUUUGUGGGUCACACAGGCACUUGGAACCCCGUAGUUGCUUGGUAUCCCGUGGUCAAACAUUCUAUUGAAUCAGGACAAGGAACACUAAAAGUUGCUUCUAACAGGGGGCAUGUGUCUCUGCUGUGGAUGACAUGAUCUUACUCCAGAAUCCCAGGCCCUCCACUGUGACUCUCCCACUGGUGCUUGGUUCAGCUCCAUCCUGUGUCUUUCCCCACCACUGGCACCACCAGCCCCAGGGGUCUGAGGGAUGGUGGCUGCUUGUACCAUGGCCUGGAUCUGCUGCAGGGUCCUUUCCUGUGUAGGCCCCACUUGAAGCUGGCAUCCUCCUAUGUCACCUAGACUGUGGGCCAAAGCAAAAUGUCUAGAUGUGGAAUGUGGUGUUGUUAUAAUUCAAAGAGGCUCACCAAGCAGUGUGCUUCCUUGCUUCUGGUGAGGAUGCAAGAUGCAACAGUUUUUCUUUUACCUUGGAGGGGACACACCUGCAUUCCCCUAAACACUUGGCACUUGUUCACCCAUAAAACUUCACUUCAGUGCCCACCUUUGAAGCUGUAUAAGGUUUAUCUUCACCUUGUGGGGUGCGUGUGUUUUGCAAAGGACUACAGUGCACUUUCUUCCUGCUGCUCAUCUACUCCAGUCAACAUGAAGUUGUCAAUGAAAUGUGCUGAUUUAAUAUCCUAAAGGAUAUGCAGUAUGUCCAGUACAGUCUUAAGCCUAUACUAUAGAGGGCACAGGUGUUACAAUAGCCCUGAGGCAAACAAUAAAUAAAUGUGUCGUUGAUUCCACAUGAAUGUGAAUCACUCCAUAUCCUCUUCCUUCCUUCCUUCCUUCCUUCCUUUCUUUUUUGACAAAGUCUUGCUCUUGUCCCCUAGGCUGGAGUGCAAUGGCGUGAUCUCGGCUCACUGCAACCUCUGCCUUCUGUGUUCAAGUGAUUCUCCUGCCUUGGCCCCCCGAGUAGCUGGGAUUACAGGCACCUGACAUGAUGCCUGGCUAAUUUUUGUAUUUUUAAUAGAGACGGGGUUUUGCCAUGUUGGCCAGGAUGGUCUAGAACUCCUGACCUCAGGUAAUCCACCGGCCUCGGCCUCCCAAAGCUGGGAUUACAGGCAUGAGCUACUGCGCCCAGCCCAUAUCCACUUUCUAAUUGGAGUGGAAAGGAAUGCACUCACCAAAUCCACAGCGGCACACUGUGUGCCCGGGGCUUUAUUAACCUGCUCUACCAGUGAUAACCAGACAACAUAAAAGCUGCAAUUAUAACUCCUACUUGGCCAGACCUGGAGUAAUCUCAUUCAUUCUUUAGGCCUUACCAGUUUCCCUCAGGGACAGGUUGCUGGAUUACAUAGAGACAAUAGACAGCCCCAACACCACCCCACAUCCUUCAGCUCUCUAAUGUUGGUGCGACCCCAUAAUACUUUCAGUGUCUUCCACAAGACCCACCCUGGGACACACUAUGGUUUUUGAUUUGGCCAGGAUGAGGGCAGUGUCAGAGGUUUCCGUUUGGCUUUCAGCACAAUGAGAGUCCUUACUCCACAGACUAGGGACCCAGUGUGGGGGUGACUCCACUUAGCAGUGCAGCAGUGUCAAUCAUGCACUCAGGGAAUUGAAAGAUAUCCAGCGUUGGGUCUGUUGGCCCAGUGGUCCCAUUGUGGGCCAUAAUUUGUCCAGGUUUACUCCCUGGCCUCCAUAAGCCCCACUGUGAUGGGAGACAUGAGUGCUGUGGGCAUCUGGGCAUCAAUGUCAGCUCACACCCAGUGUCAAUAAUCCCUCCAGUUCUGCGUGUUUCCUUUCCCCAGUGUACAACCACCCAAGUAAAUGUCUAUAGGUUCCUUUGCCAAAUGAUUGAGGGAAUUGUGCCAGCAUAUACUUCCACAGGGUUGCAGGGUCUUCCUCCUAGGGAUAUGGACUCCUCCUCUGUCACUGAGAUCUGAAUCUGAAUCUUGGCUGAGGUCUAGGCAUUGAGGAUGGGAUCAUGACUUUGUAUUGGGUCAAACACCUUCACCCUCCUGCUCCUCAAUUCUUUCAUUCCUAUCAUAGAUAUCAAGCAGCGCCCUUGUUGGCUGCCUGUCCUAACCCUGGGACACCACCCUCUAUUAACCUUCCCCACAUUCCCUGCAACUUGAGUCCUCCUGGCUGCUACUCUGAAGUUGCCAUAGUAACCAUGCCCUCUGCUUUUUCAGGUCACUGCCACCACUUCUUCUCUGUCUCUUCAGGGCCACACUCUCCCCAGGGAUAUGGAUAAAUGCAACUCUGGGACCAUCUUUAUUACCAUCACCUGCAGCCUGCAGAGGACAACACCCCUAUACUUAGUGAUGCAGGUCCCUUUCACCAUCAUGUUCCUGAGGCUCUGGUGGAAGGUUGUGUCCUCUGGGCCCUCUUGUGGAGCAUGGCCCUGGUGGGCCUUCACCAUGCCCACUUCCCUCAGCCUCGUUAUUCCUUCCUUUACAUGUUCCAGGGCAACUAAGACAUGUCUACCUUGUUGAGAGUUGGGCAUCUUUUUUUCCAAUCUAUAUGGAUUCACCCCAGCGGUGGGUUUAGCUCCACUUAUCAAAGUCCUGGGGUGUUUGACAAACCCAUGCCUUGAGAAAGUGCCUCCAAGCCAAAGGAUUUUUAUUCAUCCAGCCUGAAAUUCUGGUUUCUUGAUCAAACGCCCUCAAAUUCCAAUCCCAGAAGUGCUCCUUGGGCUCCUGUGGGGAAAUGGCGGCUAAUUCCUGCAAAGCUGCUGAGUAGGAUUCCCGCAGAAUCACGGGGGUGAGGCUUUUGCAGCAUCUUCCAGCGUAGGAAGUGGGAACCAUUAUUAGAUAAUGGUGAGCCUCCUCUGCAUUCCCAGAGGGUCCUGGAGGGCACCCAUCGGAUAUCCUGGUUCCAGUUUCCAGAAUCUCAGGUUUCCCCACCAGGACCCUGACUUUCCUGUAACAGGCCUGCUUUGGCUGAGUGUCAGACAUGUCUGGAGCACUGUGGCCCUCGUAAUGAUGUCUUCAGCUGCCAUUCCACGCUAUCUGCCCUUUCGCUACAGGAGAUAAAGGCCUCUCCAUGAGACACUGCAGAGGCUGUCACCUGUAGCCAGUGACAGCUGUUAACAACCCGCAGAUUCUCAUGAUCCUUUUAUAGGGUAUCAACGCAGCCAAGCAGUAACCACCCAACUCCUCUGUCUUUGUAGGUUUCCCCCAACCUCAUCAUUAUUGUGUAGGGCAUUCUAUCACCUCACCUGCCAUAGCUUCCCCUAACCAGGGCAUCUUCUCAGCUCAGCACUGAGGAGACCACAGCACCUCAGCUGCACCUUAUGCCAUGGACUUUCUGUGUCCCCCACCAACCCGGGUGGCAUCCUCUUGGCCUGCCAGGCAGUGGGCAAGAUUAUUUCAAAUUCCCAUUUUUGCCUGUUUUCAUGGGUCACCCUUCAUACCGCUUGGGUUAGUUAGGGUCCCCUGAGGAGCAGAGCCCAAUACGGUAGUAAAUGUGCAAGGAUUUAUUCAGGGAAAUACUUGUGAGAGAAAUUCAGGAGAGAGACAGAAAACACUGGGAGAGCCAUCAGACCACACUGCAACUCUGAGCCCCAGUGAAGGAGAGAGGGCAGGAAGUUCAGCUGGAAGCAUCCUAGACCCUGUGCAGGCUAAGGGAAAUUUAGUAAAGGAGGCAGGGAGCCCUGGGGCUGCAGUCAGCCUUCAGAGGAGAAAUAUUCCUGCCUUAGUUUCUGCCCUGCUUUCCUCAAUCAUUGGCUGGAAAAGAUCAGGGGGCAGGUGUGGGAUCAGAGCAAAUGUGGCAAUAGAUUUCAAGCUUCAAGAGCUGGGGUCAUCAUCGAUUCUGCUUCCUGUAGCUGAGGGGCUGGGAUGUGCAUUCUCAUGACUGCCACAAUGAUCCAGUGGGGAGAGAGGGAAAAAGUUGAUGAUAAAGAUAAAAAAAGAUACUAGUUGAUGAACUGACAACUUUAAGUAGAUGAGAAGGGAUGAUGUUUGGGGCACCAGAAGAGGGACUGGCUCUGACUGGGAGCAGAAUUGUUAACCCCCAGCAAUCCCUCCCGUGGUAAAAUGCCUGACAUGUGGUGCAGCUGCAAAUGCAUGAGCAGACAGUGGUGGAAUCGGGGAAGUUGUCUUCUAAUGUGUUCAGUUUUCUCAGUGAGGUAGGAGGCAAGGUUGUCAGCUGAGGUAAGAAUGGGGAAGAAGGGUUGGAUGUGUGAGCACAGAGAGAAGGUGUCUAGGAGUCACCCAGGCCAAGAGGAGGCUGAGGGUGAACCACGUAGGGAGAGGGUGAUUGCUGGCCACGUCAAUGGUAGGGGCUCCCCAUGAGGUUUGGAAUCUUAAAGAGACCAGUCAGCAUGUUGUGUGCUGCUGUCCAGCCUCCUGCAGCUCAUGGGGCAGGUGCAGCAUAGACAGAGGUGGAACCCACCAGCUGUGUAGUUUUGCCAGGUGAGUAUGACAAUGCAAGGGAGAGGCAAGGGAGGGAUUGAAAUUAUUUACUGUAGAAUUCAAAAUGGGAGAAGAGGGAGGAGAGGACACCAAGGGUGAGUGACAGGGAGUAGAUGGCAGGAUCACUCAAUUGGGAAUCCCAGUGGGCUGGAAGGAUUGUUGGAAUUGAUGUACCACAGGGUGGACUCCAAGCCUGGAAUGCAGGCACAUAGGAAAUGAGUGGUUCAUUGAUAUUACAUCACAGCAUAUGAUAAAAUGAUAGUGUCUGUGUCAUCAGAGCCUGUGGCCACCUUGCAAGGGGAUGAGUGGAAAGAUGGCCAGAGAGUGGGAAGUGUGAGAUUGAGAGUAUGGAAGGGCUGGGGUUCUUGGCCGUGAUGAGGCCUAGGGGAUGACAAGGGCAUGAGAUUCAGGCAGAGAGAGGAGAAGGUCAUGGAGGAGAGGAGUUACAGGAUCUGAGAGUCCAGGGAGCAAGGGCAUCUUCUCUGCUGUAUAGGUGUCUGUUGCUGCCAUAAAAAUUACCACAAACCAAGUGGCUUUAAACAGCACCUAAUUAUCAUGUCACAGUCAUGUGGGUUGCAAGUCCACACAGUCUCAUGGGGCUAAGAUCAAUGUACGGGAAGGCCUGCAUUCCUUCCUGGAGACUGGGGAAGAAUCCACUUCCAAGCUCAUUCAAGUUCUUGUCUGAAUUCACUUCCUUGCAGAUAGAACAGAGAUUUCCACUUCCUUGUUAAGAGCCACCCUUAGCUCCUAGAGUUUUCUCUCAGGUACUCACACAUGGCGCCUAAGGCACAUCCAGUCCUCCUGCUUGGAACAUCUGACCUCCUCUCUCCAGCUUCUCCUCUGUUUCCUCUUCUGCAGAAUCUGACUCCAGCCAGGGCAGUUUCUCUGCUUUUAAUGGCUCAUGUGAUUUGAUUGGGCCCACGCAGAUAGUCCAGGAUACUCUCCCUAUUUUAAGGUCCUUAAUCUUCAUUACAUGAUUAAUGUCCCUUUUGCCAUGCAAUGCAACCUAUUCACAUGUUCCAACGAUUAAGCCUGGACAUCUUUGGGGACCAUUACUCAGCCCACCACAUCUGCGUAUGUUGAAGUCACCAAGAGUCAAGGAGACGCACUGCUGGAGAGGGUGACAGUGAACCAGGAGCUACAAGGGUCAGGAUUAAGAGGAAUGGCUUGGGGCACAAAGGGAAUGGCUACAACAUGGGGAAUGGGGCCCUAAUCUGCUGACAGCUUAGGGGUUUAGGGAGGAGGGAGGGAGAAAGGUGUGAGAACCACAGUGAGGAGCAAGGACCCCACCUCACCUCUGAACCCAGGGGUACAAGUCCCUGGGAAAACUCCCCCAUGUGGGAGGACUUUGGAGGGGGUCGUGUCCUCAGGGAGACCAGGUUGCUGCUGUAGCUGUGAGGUGCAGGAACAUCCUGAGAGAGGGUGUGGAGGUUUUGCUAAUCUUUUUGCUGGGGGAGGGUCUUGCCUCAGUGUUGACUAUUGGCUGAUCAGGAGGGUGGUUGCUAAAGGCUGCUGUGGCAACUUCUUUAGAUAUGACAAUAAAGUUUGUGGCAUGGAUUGUAAAUCGGGAAUCAGUACUUAAGUAAGGUCAAUAUGAGUUUUCAAGUCAGGUGGACCUGAAUAUGAACCCUCCAGGCCCUUCCACCAGCUAGCUAUAGAGCCCUGGGCACAUCUGGCCCACAGUUGGCCCUGACAGACACUUGCCCAGUGAGUGAGUGCUGAAUGAGCCCAUACGAGUCAGUUUCCUCAUCUGCAAACUAGUGAUGUAAUUCCUGCCUUGCCAAUUCAGAAGAAUAAGUGAGAAGAAACCCAGUGCCAAGAAAAACAGACACAAGACCUGUGGAAGGCUGGGCACCAGUACUCUAAAGCAAGCUCUGCCUAAACUGGCAGGAUCAUUUUUCACAUCAGAAACAGGAAUUGGUCUGGAUUCUGUCUGGGACCAGGCUGAGAGGGAGGUGGAGGCAGCAGAGCAGGGCAGGGGUGGGGCCUAUGCAGCACCAGGUGCUGAAGCAAAGCCAAGGCCUGGAGGGAGCGAACUCUUGGUGUCUUCUAGGCAACUCAGACUGCUCCCUGCCUCAGCUACCAUGGUCCUUUCUCUUCCAGGAUCUCUUGGUGCUGUUGUCUUCACCUCCUCCUGCCCUCCUGGUCCCUAGCUCUCCAGGACUCACAAAGAUGCUGCUCUGAAAACCCCAAGGCAAGCGUGGAAGAGUAGAACAGCUCCAGGGACAGUGGGAAGAUGAGGUCACCCCAGCAUCUCCUUGCCUAGUUCCAGCUCUGAGCUCUCAGCUCCUUCCCAACCACACCCCAGCUCAGACCUCAGGGCUCUCUCUCCCCACCCCCUCCAGAGCAGCACAGUCCACAGAGCCCUUGAACAGAAAUUCCCCCUCAUCUAACAGUUAAUUAUUUCUUAGCGGAGAGGGACAGCCGGUCCUCUCUUUCCAGUGACCCCAUAUCCUUGUUCAAGGUAUCCAGUUAUACUCCCUGAGCCAGGGAUCUCUAUUUGCCCCCCAGAGGCCUAUGCCCAAGACAAGGGGCUCCCUGGGCUUCUCAGUACAGGAGGCCUUAAGCUAAUGGGCUAGAAAAAGGGAAAGGGAGGUAGAAUUCCUCAUUUACAGCCAGACCCUGCAAUACAGGUUCCAAGGGCCUCAGCCCCCUGCCCUGGCUGAUGCUCCCUCCACCACUCCCCCUCACCAGGGCCAUGAGCCCCCAACACAGCUGAGCUGGCCCAAGCUGAGGAGUUGCUGGAGCUGGACCAGGCCCUGCUGGAAGGGCAGGAGGGGGUCAGGGGCCCAGGCCCUGGUGCUCAAGGUCUAGAAUUUGAAGGAAUAGAUGAGGAGGCACCAAGAAAGCCUGGGUGGAGACACUCAAGCUUCCCACCAGUGCCCACAGCACCCUCCAUCCCUGGAAAUACUGCGCACCAUCCACCAGGAGCCCCAGGAUCAGAAACAUCCCAGCCUCUCUCAGGCCAGAUAAAGCAGAAGAGACCCCAACAAAGGGCCGGAAAUAGGCAGGUAGUUGGGGAGCCAGGGCUCUGCAGUCCGUCCCCCUUUGACCUCACAGCAGGGCAUCCAGGCCUUACAGGAAUUUACCCUGGACCAUGCCCUAAAAUAAUCUUACCCCAAAUACAAUAAAGGGAGAGAGCACCCACACAUAAUGCAGAUGCACUUGUGUUUCAUGUUUAGUUACAUUAAAAAUUCUGACGAUCAGGAAUGAUGGUUCGGGAGUGGUGCUGAUGCAGAAGAGGAAAGCCAGGGGGUGGUGGAGGCUGUCAGGUGUGGGGGCAGCAGGGUCUCCUUCACCCACACCCUGCUGUCCUCUCCUGAAGGGCAGAUGGUCACAUUCCAGAAUGAGCGAGUCUCCUACUGCAUCUGUUCAACUGAGAAGGAGACAUGGCACAGUGAGAAUAAGGCAUGAAAGGACAAAGCAAGGCAGGAACACACAGCACACAUGCAGAUGCUGGUGUACUGCCUGGGUUCAGAGGAUGGACUUGGGUGUGGUGGAAGAGAUGUAAUAUGAGAAAAGGCACAGACCCCACAUAGAGGGCAGCAAAACGUCCCAACACAGCAUCAACGGCCAGGGGGCAUGAAGCAGUCAAUUGUUCAUUAUGCGUUAAGUGCCCAUGACCUACAUGAUGGGAUUGAAGACACAGUAAGGAAUAGGGAGGAACUAAGGGUUUCAUGAAAUCAGCACUCACUGUGGAGGAGACGUCUGUCUCAGCAGGUAGCUCCUAACACUGAACUUAAAGUGAUGCUGCCCAUCACUGAGGAUCCUGGCACAAUUCUCAUCCGACACAAGCCCUGUUCCAAACCAGCCUGCUCUAGUCACCUGGAAGGAGACAGAGGUUAGGACUAGAAGACCCCAAAGAGGGAAGACAGCCAGAGGGAGGAAUGAAGAAGUGAAGUGUGAAAAGAUACAGAAAAUAAGUGGGUGGGAGAGUGGGUGUCCCUCUGUGUAUGGAGCUUACCUGAUUCACGUAGGUCUCAGAAUCUUCAGGCAUGUCACAGGUAAAGGCAGUGUUCACCUGCUCCAUGUCCAUGCCUGGGCAAAAUAGGGUUGGUAGCCAAAGAAUUGGCCUUUAAAAAUCUUUUGGGGUCAUUCUCAGACAAGUACAGAAGAGCAAAAACUGUUAGUCACCUGAGGUGCAUUCUCCUUCUCAGGUUCAGAAAUGAACUACAUGUAAAAGGAACCAAAGGCUGUAAUUCUCAUGGCACCCAGAAAACUGGACUAGGGACCUGGAGAGUCAUGUGCCUGUCAUUGCUCCACCACUCACGAGCUGUGUGACUUCAGGAGAAGCUCUCUACUCAUAGGGCCUCUGAUUCAUCUGUGAAUCAUGGACAAAUGCCUCCAUUCUAGCAACCUUACUGAAAUGCAGGGAGGACCAAGUGAUCAAUGCGGAGGAAAAAAGCAAAGUGAUGACAUUUACUCCUAGACAAGACUCUUUAGGAAAAUGCACUUUAAAAGGAGGAGAAAACAUAGUACCUGCCAUCCCCUGCCAAAAAGCCUCUUUGGUUUAGUAAUUAUGAUUGUUCAUCAUCUUUCUAUAAAAUUAGGGCAAAACUAGCUCACUCAAUGUCUCAAAUAAAUUAAACACAGUUUGUGAUUCUAUGUCCACAACUUUUGCACUGUGUGAAACUGAAAAGAAAUGGGAACACAUCCAUGUUUGUGUGGUGGCCAGGAGACCCACAAAGGCUUGGAAAUGACCCUGUAUCAUCUAUUUUCCAUUGACUCACUCUAUGUUUUGGAAUCCCAGGUAAUUCAUAUUCUUAAAAAGUCUCAUGUUCAUACAUAGGACAGAGUAGAAAAGGUAAUAUUUCUGUUUUAAUUUGCUAGGGCUACCAUAACAAAGUACCACAUGCUGGGUGAGUAAAAUAAUAAAUAUGUAUUGUCUCACAGUUCUGGAGGCUACAGGUGCAGGUCAAGGUGCUGCAGGGUUGCUUUUUCCUGAGGCCUCUCUCCUUGGCUUGUAGAUGGCCACUUCUGUCUUCUCAACAUAGGACUCCAACAUAUGAAUUUCGGUUGGGGAGGGACACAAUUCGUCUCAUAACAGCGUGGAUCAUCCUUGGUAGUGGAUAUUCUAAAAAAUAAAAGAGAGUAUAUCCCUUUGGCUUGGUGCUUUCUCUUGGUUUUCUCAAUUUUUGGUCUUGCAAUAAGAACAAAAAAGAACAAGAACCAACGUUUAGUUUUUCCCAGAAGGUGAACCCUCCCUACAUCUGGGUAACCCCAGACCCCAAGAAGAGGUGCUAUGCAGUUCUCCAGAGUCUUACUUUCUCCAGGAAUUCUGUUUCUGCCUUUCUAACUGGGGAGAAGAUUCUCUCAGGAGAGCCACUUCUUCUGAUGCUGUAUGGGCUUCAUUCUGCUUGAACUUACAAAGUGGAUCUUAAUAAAAAGGAAAUAUUUGCCAAUUUUUAUCAUGGUCAUAUUUUUGUACUUUUUAAAAUGUCCCAUAUUGUGUUGAGUUUAUUUUAAAAAUAUUUUUUAAAGGUAAUACAUAACAUUUUAUAUGUUUAUGGGGCACAUGUGAUCAUUUGAUACAUACACAGAAUGUGGAAUAAUCAAGUCAGGGUGUUUAGGGAAUCCAUCACCUCAAGCAUGUAUCAUUUCCUUGUGUUGGGAACAUUUAAAAUCCACUCUUCUAGCUGUUUUAAAUAUACAUAAUUGUUAGCUUUAGUUGGCCUGCUGUGCUAUAGAACAUUAGAACUUUUUUUUUUAUAUAACUGUACAUUUGUACCCAUUAAUCUACCUCUCUACAUCUUCCCACCCCUACAUUCUUCCCAACCUCUGGUAAUUUUCAUUCUACUCUCAACCUCCAUGAGAUUAACGUCUUUAGCUCACACAUGUGAGUGACAACAUGUGAUAUUUGUGUUUCCUUGCCUGGCUCAUUUCACCUAACAUGACCUCUGGUUCCAUCCAUGUUGCUGCAACUGACAGGAUUUCACUCUUUUUUUAUGGCUGAAUUGCAUUCCAUUGUGUAUAUACUACAGUUACUUUAUUCAUUCACCCAUUGAUAAAUUCACCAUUGAUUUCACAUCUUUGCUAUUGUGAAUAGUGCUUCAAUAAACAUGGGUGUGCAGGUACUCUUUUGAUAUAUUGACUUCAUUUCCUUUGGAUAAAUACUCAGAAGUAGAAUUGUUGCAUCAGAUAGUAGUUCUAUUAAUAGUUUCAGUUUUUUUGAGAGAUCACUCUACUGUUUCCCAUAAUGGCUGCACUAAUUUACAUGACCACCAACAGUGUAUAACAUUCCCCUUUCUCCACAUGCUCACCAACAUCUAUUAUUUUUUAUUUUUUAAUAAUAGCCAUCUUAACUAGGGUUAGGGUAAGAUAUAUCUCAUUGUAGUUUGAUUUUCAUUUUCCUGGUAUUUAGUGAUGUUGGGUGUUUUUCACACACCUGCUGGCCACUUGUAUGCCUCCUCUUGGGGAAUGUCUAUUCAGAUCCUUUGUCCACUUUUUAAUUGGAUUAUUUGUAUUUUUUACUGCCAAGUUUUUGAGUUCCUUGUAUAUUCUAGAUAUUAGUCUAGAAUAUACUAAUUGGAUGAAUAUACUGGUUGGUUGAAUACUUAGUAAAUAUUUUCACGAUUCAACAGGUUAUUGCUUCAUUCUGUUGGAUGUUUCCUUUGCUGUGCAGAAGCUUUUUAGCUUAAUAUAGUCUCAUUUGUCUAUUUUUACUUUUUUUGCCUGUGCUUUAGAGGUCUUAGCCAUAAAAUCUUUGCCUAGACUAAUGUUUCCCAUAAGUUUUCUUCUAGUAGUUUUACAGUAUUGGGUCUUACGUUUAAGUCUACAAUCCCUUUUGAGUUGAUUUUUUGUAUAUGGUGAGAGACAGGGGUCUAGUUACAUUCUUCUGCAUCUGGUAGCAUUUUCCCAGCACCAUUUAUUUAAGAGACUGUUCUUUCCCCAGUGUAUAUUCUUGGUUCCUUUGUCAGAGGAACUCCUUUGAGAGUUCUCAUUAAGAAGCAAUGUUUAGUUUCACCAAAUGCUUUUUCUGCAUCUAUUGAGAUGAUAAUAUGGUUUAUGUCCUUCAUUCUGUUGAUGCGGUAUAUGACAUAUUUUGAUUCACAUAUGUCAAACAAUCCUUGCAUCCUGGGUAUAAAACUCACGUGAUUAUGGUGUAUUGUUUUGAUCUGUUGUUGGAUUUUGUUGCUAAUAUUUUCAAUUACUAUUUUUUAUUACUAACGUUUAAAUUUUUAUUGUAAGCAUUUUAAACUUGUAAAAUUUACAUAUACUGAAAUGAUCAGAUCUGUAUCAAAUUCAUCAAUGAAUUUUGACAAAUACAGCCAUAGCACCCAUGCCACUAUGAAGAUACACGAAGUUCUCUAUUUUUCUGCCUUCAAAUUAGCCCCCUUUCCCCAGCAGCCAUUGAUCUGAUGACUAUCAUGAUAGAGUAGCUCUUCCUGUUUCAAAACUUCAUACGUAUCCAUUCAUCCCAUAUGGCCUCCCUUGUGCCUAGCUUUUUGCACUUGGUGUAAUAUCUAUGUGGUCUGCCCAGCUUGUUGCAUGUAUCAGUAAUUCAUUCAUUUUUAAUGCUGGUAGUAUUGCAUUGUAUCACUGAGUCACAAUUUUUUUGUACAUUUUGGGGGUAUUCACGGUUUUUUAUUGUUACAAAUGAACUAUGGACAUUAUUGUACAGGGAUUCUUGGACAUAAUCUUUAUUUCACUUGAGUAAAUACCUAGGAGUGGAAAUGCUAGCCAUAGAGUACUAGCUUGUUUAACUUUAUUAGAUGAUAUAAAAGUGAUUUUCAGAGUGGCUGUUUUAUAUUCUUAUAGGCAGUGGAUGAGACUGUUUCACAUCCUUGACAACAUUUAUAUUUAUUAAUCACUUAAAUUUCAGCCAUUCUAAUAAGUGCUUAGUGGUUUCUCGCUGUGGUUUUACUUUGCAUUUUUCCCUGAUGACUAUUGGCCAUUCAUGUGUCUUUUUUGUAAUGUUUCAGAAGAUUUCUCUAAAGAUUGUGGAAGGAGCUAAAUAAACAUGAUUUCUCUUUCUCUAAGUGCUAGACCUAAAGUGGAAUGUUUAGAAUCCAUCCACGCUUCCCAGUCUGGCCUACUCAAUCCCAUAUUUGCCCCCUAAAGUCCCCACUCCUUCAUCCCUCUUUUAUAUUUUAUCCUCUUCAUUCUGGCUCAAGCUCACACUCCUCCAGGAAGUCUGUUACUGUGAAGGUCACUGACAUGCUCAGUAUUGUCAUCUCUCCAUCUGUCUGUACCUCUGUGCAGCUUUCCUCACACUCAAUAACUCUUUUCUUAUUUUGCUCAGUUCCUGUGGAUUCACUUCACAAACAUUAAUUCAAAGUAGUUCCAGCUGGAAGAAAGAAUAGAAAAUUAUAAAAAAUCUUUGUGAAGGCACCACCCAGGUUUGUCAAUUGGCGACAUUUUAAUAUUAUUGGCUAUAUGUAGUAUACAUAGAAAAAUAAUAGAAAUAUAUGUAGAUAGCCUUGAUUUUUCACAGCUCUGAUAUGCACAUGUUUCAGUCAGUACUGUACUGAGCAAAUCAAGAAUUGCAAGAGGAUGUGUGACUUGAAUUUAGUGUAUGCCUUUAUAUUUUUACUAAGUUUUAGGAAAUCUCUUUGUUUGAAGUCUUUUAGACUUGUUUUUUUAGAACAGGUCUCCUCACUCUGUCACCCAGGCUUGAGUGCAGUGGCACAAACACAGCUCACUGUACCUCAACCUCCCAGGCUCAAGCGAUACACCUACCUCAGCCACCCAAGUAGCUGGGGGUAUAGCUAUGCUCCACCAUGCCGGGCUAAUUUUUGUAUUUCUUGGAGAGAGGGUUUUUGCCAUGUUUCCCAGGCUGGUCUUGAACUCCUGAACUCAAGCGAUCCACCCACCAUGACCUCCCAAAGUGCUAGGAUUACAAGUGUACACCACCUUGCCUGGCUUUGCUUUUAGACUUCUUAUAAAUUGUUUCUGGCUAAUUUUAUCAUUCAUUUGCUUGCUUUUUCAGUUAACAUGUUCUAUGACAUGAAUCUAUGUUCAUACAAAUAGUUCAUUUGCUUUCAUUGGUGGAUAGUAUUCCAUGGGAGGAAUAUACUACAAUUCUUCUCUUUCCCUCUUCAUUGACCUUUAGA